AGGUUCUCUCUUGAUGACCUUUAUUGAAACCAAAAGGGUAACUGGAUGUUGCAAAAAGCAGAAAUGGAAUGUUAGUGCCACGUGGCACCACUCAGAGCCUCUACAACCUUAUCCCACAUCCAAAAAUCUGAUCCAUCUCAUCAUCCAAUAUCCAAAAAUCAGCCAUUUCCCUUCACAUACCCCAAAGACAAAUCACCCUAAGCGAUUUGCUGCUCAAUUUCCUCUUCCAUUGUUCUUUGGGUUAGUUUCAUCCUACUCCUGCAGGCAUAUCUGCAACUCAAGGGAUCAAAAAUGGCCUCCACUUCCUGCUUCUUGCACCACCAUGCACUCGCUACUCCUAAUAGAUUGUCUUCAUUGUCCCAGCAGCGUCAAGUGUCUAGCAACACCAAGCCUACCAACCAGUUCAUCUGUCGUUCUACCCACAAGCAGCCUCCACAGGAGGAGGAUGUUGCCCUUGUCUCCAGAAGAUUGGCUCUCACAGUACUCAUUGGUGCUGCAGCCAUUGGCUCCAAGGUUGCUCCUGCAGAUGCUGCCUAUGGUGAAGCUGCCAAUGUCUUUGGCAAGCCUAAAACAAACACAGACUUCUUGCCAUACAAUGGAGAUGGAUUCAAAUUGUCAAUUCCAUCAAAAUGGAACCCAAGCAGGGAGAGAGAGUUCCCAGGUCAGGUUCUUAGAUAUGAGGACAACUUUGAUCCCAACAGCAAUGUUUCUGUCAUUGUCACCCCAACUGAUAAGAAAUCCAUCACUGACUAUGGUUCCCCUGUAGAAUUUCUUGCCAAGGUGGAUUUUUUACUAGGAAAACAGGCUUACUUUGGCAAAACCGAGGCUGAGGGAGGUUUUGAUCCAAAUACCGUGGCAACAGCCAACGUAAUGGAGUCCUCAACCCCAACAAUCAAUGGGAAACAAUAUUACUUUUUGUCUGUGUUAACAAGGACUGCUGACGGAGACGAAGGUGGCAAGCAUCAACUGAUCACAGCAGCUGUGAAAGAUGGCAAGCUUUAUAUUUGCAAGGCACAAGCAGGAGAUAAGAGGUGGUUCAAAGGAGCAAGAAGGUUUAUAGAAAGCACGGCUAGUUCCUUUAGUGUUGCUUAAGGAUAUAACCAACGAACUUGUAUGUAAAUCAACUUUUAAUAAUCUAUGAUGUUUGUUUUUAGUCGUCUGUCUAGCCCUUCUUUUUAGGCAAAGUUUCAGAGGGAGGGAGUUGGACGGAGGAUGAUUGUGGAUACCAUAAUAUUUCUUUGAAUUACUUGUCAUGAGUUGAAAUAUUCCUUCUCUCUCAGUUUAUCUUCUUGCUGUUUCCAAGAAAAAUACCCAUAUUAGUUCUUUAAAAUAAUUUGAAAUUUGCAGGGAUAUGGUUCUAGGGAGAGUUUGAUUCUUGAUUUCUGCUAACAUAUCAGAUAUAUUUAGCAAUAUUAGCAAAAGG
rnacentral:misc_RNA from 1 species